rnacentral:rRNA from 1 species
GACGAACGCUGGCGGCGUGCUUAACACAUGCAAGUCGAACGGAAAGGCCCUGCUUGCAGGGUACUCGAGUGGCGAACGGGUGAGUAACACGUGGGUGAUCUGCCCUGCACUUCGGGAUAAGCUUGGGAAACUGGGUCUAAUACCGGAUAGGAGCCAUCUUUAGUGUGGUGGUUGGAAAGUUUUUUCGGUGUAGGAUGAGCUCGCGGCCUAUCAGCUUGUUGGUGGGGUAAUGGCCUACCAAGGCGGCGACGGGUAGCCGGCCUGAGAGGGUGUACGGCCACAUUGGGACAGAGAUACGGCCCAGACUCCUACGGGAGGCAGCAGUGGGGAAUAUUGCACAAUGGGCGCGAGCCUGAGGCAGCGACGCCGCGUGGGGGAUGAAGGCCUUCGGGUUGUAAACUCCUUUCGCUAGGGACGAAGCUUUGUUGUGACGGUACCUAGAGAAGAAGCACCGGCUAACUACGUG